rnacentral:tRNA from 1 species
UUGGUUGAAACCAAAGUAGAGGUGUAUUACUGUUAAUAAUAUAAUUGAAUAUAUAUAUAUUCCAGCCAAG